rnacentral:rRNA from 1 species
AUUGAACGCUAGCGGGAUGCCUUACACAUGCAAGUCGAACGGAGUGGCGAACGGGUGAGUAAUGUAUCGGAACGUGCCCAGUAGCGGGGGAUAACUACGCGAAAGCGUAACUAAUACCGAAUACUCUUGGAGCGGCCGAUACCGGAUUAGCAAUUUGGGGGGUUAACGGCUCACCAAGGCCACGAACCGUAGCUGGUUUGGGAGGACGACCAGCCACACUGGGACUGAGACACGGCCCAGACUCCUACGGGAGGCAGCAGUGGGGAAUUUUGGACAAUGGGGGAAACCCUGAUCCAGCCAUCCCGCGUGUGCGAUGAAGGCCUUCGGGUUGUAAAGCACUUUUGGCAGGGAAGCGGUACCUGCAGAAUAAGCACCGGCUAACUACGUGCCAGCAGCCGCGGUAAUUC